GCUUUCUCUAGUUCAAGAUGGCUCAGUCUAGUCCUAUUUGACUCAGUUUUGUUUGUUUACUUUAGAAGCUUAGUUAUUUGCAUCAUUCAUGCCACAAACCUUCAGUGAAUAUCUGCUGACUGUCAGUCUACCCUUGGUACUAGAGCAUGAAGGAAAAAUUGACACAGACACUGCCCGUAAGGAGCUCAUGGCCUAGUAGAGGAUAGAGGUAAGUAAAAAGGCCCUUAUUCUUGGGCCAUGCGGCAUGCAUUUGAUCACUGUCUGCUCAGCAUUGUGCCAGGCACUGGAGAUGGGCAGUGUUCAGAUAAGGCCCUGCUCACAUGGAGCCCACAGUCUGAUGGGGUCACAUCCCCUCGCACUCAAGUUUCCAUAUAGCAGUUACAGUGCUCAGCCCGAGGCUUUCUCUGCUGCAGAGACCAGCUUGACCUGUCCUGCAAAGAAUGCCAGGGAGCCACAUGAAGGAAGAAGAGCUUUUCUCACCCAGAAUCGAUACUGUUGUGACUCCCAGGGAGGUGGUCCAAAGGAUUCUUUGGGUUUCAUUUUUCAGGUUUAAAUUUAGUCCAUCUAGAAUUUAUGGUGGUAUCUUGUGU
rnacentral:lncRNA from 1 species